GAUGAAGAACGUAGCGAAAUGCGAUAAGGAAUGUGAAUUGCAGAAUUCAGUGAAUCAUCGAAUCUUUGAACGCACAUUGCGCCCGCCAGUAUUCUGGCGGGCAUGCCUGUCUGAGCGUCAUUUCAACCCUCAUGCCCCUAGGGCGUGGUGUUGGGGAUCGGCCAAAGCCCGCGAGGGACGGCCGGCCCCUAAAUCUAGUGGCGGACCCGUCGUGGCCUCCUCUGCGAAGUAGUGAUAUUCCGCAUCGGAGAGCGAUGAGCCCCUGCCGUUAAACCUCCAACUUUCCAAGGUUGACCUCAGAUCAGGUAGGAAUACCCGCUGAACUUAAGCAUAUCAAUAGGCGGAGGA
rnacentral:misc_RNA from 1 species